UCAACUAAAAUAAAUUGUGCCUGGGUUUCAUUUGCAAUAUUUAGCAAACUGUUUUAGUCGCCGAAAUGAUGUUAAAGAUUUUACUAUAUUCCUGUUUCUUUCUCUUGCUGCCUCUUGCUCUCGCUGCUAAAUUUAUUCGCUGCCAUGAGAUUGGAAUCUGCAAAAGCAGUUGCUUUGUGGCAAUAGACAAAGCGAGUAGAUGUCCUCAAAAUAUGAAAUGCUGUUUGUAUGCAAAUCUGUAAACCACAAAUAAAUUACCAUCCAUACACAAAAGUCUUAAAUUUGGAAAAAGAAUAAUAAAAUGUGUGGGCUAGACUUUCCCCAGAAUAUCUUCUCAA